UAAUCUAUAAAUAAGUACCUUAUGUGAUUUAUAUAUUUUAAAAAAUGAAUGUUGGUUUUAAUGCAUUCAUUCACAGUUAUCUGACUGAUACAUAAAAGCAAACUACAAAAUAGUUAAAUUGUUCAUCAAAUAUUUAUAAAAUUUCUACUAUGUAGCAGUUGCUGUAUUUAGCAUUGGAGUUAAAAUAGGGCAGAAGAGAAAAAUCUUCUUUGCCUUCAUGAAAUUUAUAACACUUGAACUUCUCACAGGUACUGAAGGAAAAGUGACUCUACAGGACACUGAAUGAAAAUCCAUGUGGUCAGAAUCAACAGUGCCAAAGCUGCUGGGUAUUUGAACCAUAAGGACAAAGGAGAAAGCUCUGGGCCGCAGUAAGCCUGGCUAUAAACAGCCCACACAUGCUUUGACAAAGCGGGCAUGGGAGUGAAUCCAGAGCAUCAGAUCAAUUUGAAGUCGAGAAUGAAGAAAAGUCUCACAGGCAGACAGAAAGCUUCGUGACAGAUUCCCAUCUGUGUUCUAUAGAAUUGACCCUCAAAUAUCCGCAGAGUGAAUGGAAUGCUGACCCAGAGCCUGACCCUAACAUUGGAGGUUGAACCCUCUUGGGAGUACGGGAUUAUAGCCUGAGUUCUGAAUCGGGUGGGUCAGAUGACUGGUGCCUCCCUAGUGUGGAUCACCCCAUGGGCCACCAGGUGUGUACACACCUACCCUUUUAAAGAGCUUCUCUAGUCUACUAAGCAACCAGUCCCAUUUGUGAUGCUGUUGAACAUUAGCCAACUACAAGGUUGCACCAUCCCUUAGGGAGUCUGACCUUCUGGGAAUUUUGUCCUGCCUCUUUCACUAUCCUUUAACCUUUCCUGUUAUCUCUCACCUUGUCUACACUCUAUUUUGGAUCCCAUCGUGGGCCUCAGACUCUGCUAGACCUGCCUGCAGGCUCUGGAGCUAGCGACAUUAUGAAGGUGGCAUGGAGGAGAGGUGGGAAAAGUCACUUUGGAUAAGAAAUUAUGUGGUUUAUCUAGGGUGACGGAAACAAAUUGCCACAGUAAUUAGGUCAGUGUGAGUAUUCUGCACAAUGCACAGGAUGGAGGAUACAAGCUUGCGUGUUCUCUGGAUAUAGAAUAACACUUUGAGGAUUUAAUGGUGGGAUACAGAGAAAGGAUAUGAACAAAAACUGCUCUUCACAGAAGCCUAUGAACCAUAUGUGUGGGCAUUUCCUCUUUGCAUCUGUUGGUACUAGUUUGGGACAUACUACAAAUUCACUUUUGUAGAAAAGAAAUAAGAAAGCAAUCAGCAGUCUUUACCAGCAAAGGGAACUCCUUGAUCACCCUACAGUGCCCACUUCUCAUGGACACAGAUUUGGUAAAGUCAGGUACUUAGAAAUAAAACAAAAGGAAUAGCUGAGCACUAUUUUAUAUGUCUGUAACCCUAGUACUCAGCAGCCUGAUGCAGUUGAAGGGUUAGGCUGAGCUACAUAGUGAUUUACCUCUACAGUGGGCUACAUUGUGUGAUGCUUUCUGAAUGAAUGAAUAUAGAAAAGGAAGAUUCAGUGAAAUAACUGGAUUUUUCUCCAUGCUAUUCCUUUCCUUAAUUCUCUCAUUACCCUGGCAGCUCUGUGUGCAUCAGAGGUGAUUUCCCGCAUUUUUGAGAUCAUAAGAACUUCAUUUAUUGCUCACUGAUAAUUUUACCAUUAUUGUCUUUUUAUACCAAGUUUUAUAGUGUUACAGGAUUAUGGGAUCUUCCUGUUGCUGAUUCUUUCACAGGGUCAGCCCCUAAUAAACGCAUAUAGCUUGAAUAAGUGAAAGAAUAAUGAAUGCGUAGUGAAUAAACCCAGUCUUCUGAUUCUCUUCCCUGUUUUAGUUUUUUUAAAUGGUGCAAUAAACCUACUUCUGAUAUGUCCAUAUUUGCCUUUAAGAGAAUAAACUGUCUUUUUAAGAAUAAAAAUUCUUUCUCUAAACUGAAGUUGCAAAAAUAUCCCAGAGCUUCUGGCUACUGAGCAUUCCUAUUCUGGCUCUGAAAGAUUAUAGCUGGUAAUCAAACAUCUGUUUGCUCAACUUUUCUCCACUUACCAUAAUCCUAUUCAUCCUUCAAGUCUAGUUUAAGGUUUUCCUUCUCAGGGAAGCCUUUCUCUGUUGAUUACCAGAACUGGGAAAAAGUUUUUGUUUGCUGAUUCAUAUUACAAUGAAUUGCUACCAACAUUCACUCAGCACAGAUCAUGUAGAGAAAGGCAUUUUGGAAAAUGUGGCCCUGCAUCACAUUCGGCCUUUGCUCCCCAGUGAAAAUCAUUUAACACUUGUGACCCUGAAGUCACUCAGAGUGACCAUAAACCAUGGUGUCAGGAUGUGUGGUAAAGAGAGGGACUUGUGAACCUGUGUAUAAGAUGCUUGUUCCAAUAACCAACACUUUCUGGUGGCACAAAUGCUAUUAUUAUCUUUAUUUUUUUUUUCAUUUCAUUUUCUAAUCUCACUGUCUAGAUAGUUUAAGAAUCUCAAGUCUUUUCAAGUAAUUUUACAUCUAAUUUUGUAGGUUUUACAAGGAGAGACAGGUAAUAGAUAAAUAAAAUAUUGUAUAAUGGAAAAGUGAUUAAGUGAUCCGAAGACAAAUGAAGAAGAGGCAGGAGAGACUGAACAGGAGCAGGGAUGGAAUAGUACAGGAAGAUCUCUAUGAUGGUGAGAAUUUGGAGAGACUUUGAACAAAAUGGUGGACAUAGAGAAGGAAGCUCUGAAAAGAUUCAGAGCAGCCGAGGGACACAGGUGAGCUGAGUAGAGUUUUACAAAGAGCAGACAUGCCCAGGAGGACAACUGCGAACUCUCUGGGAGAUCAGAGUGGAUCAGAUGUGGGAGUGGGGAGAGCAGAGGUUCCGGAUAUUAUGAGCGAGUGGUGAGGGGAGAUACGACCAGGCUGCAGCCAGAGGAUGGAGUGGGUAGAGAUGGAAGUUUAAAAAAGACUCAAUCAUCCAUGUAGGGACAGGGCAAAAGAGGAGCAGAAGUGAUAAGGCAUGAUGAGGAAGAGACAAAUGAAAGCCAAGGCAGGGAAGGGAAAACUCGGUCAGAGUAAGGGUGGGGCGUGUUCUCAAGGCUCCUCCUGAAUGUGUGACCUGGCUCUCUGCUGAGUGAUGAGCCUGAGUAGAGGGGGAGAGGUUGAGUCACAUCAAACAGAGAGAAAGGCCAUCAAAGGACAGUUAAAAAUCAAGUCUAUUGUUUUUCAUCAUGGAUAAAGUAACCAUGUAACACAUAAGGGCAUCUCCAGAGAAACAGCCCAAACCUCACAGUCCGUGUUGUUGGUAUUUCUGAGAGAACACAUCAGUGGACCAAUAUCUGCUUAAAAAUACACUGUAUGUAUGCAUGGUGCAUUGCACACACACACACAUGCACACACACACACACACACACACACACACACACAGGAACACACUCACCACUUUCCAUCCUUUUCAACUCACAUCCACUCUGACAAUAAUGAUGUGUACUCUAAUUCUCACUAAAUUCUAGAGUAUGAGUCUUUUAAAUUUUUUUCUUUACCAAAUUACUGUUGAAUUUAGAUGUGUGACCUCUACAUAGUACUAUUUCAUAAAUUCAGAUUCAGAAGUUCAAGUCUUGCCAUAGGAAGUGGUUUUAACUCUUAUAGAUGUGCUCAUUGUAAGCCAGAGACCAUGGGCCAUGCUGGACACUGGAUAUAUAUGUUGACCUAUGAAAGGCCCUUGUAGUCAUUUAUAAGUUGACAGGGAAGUUGAGGUUCAGUUGCAUUAAUGAAUUUGCUCAGGCUCAGCAAGCUUUGUUAAGGGGCGUUCUGAGGUUGUAAGUGUGGGUCUUCCCAUAUUAUCCUGCACACACCAUGUCACCUAGCUGCAGCAAGAGGAAGAACAAUGAUCUUUAAUUUUGAUACUGAAGAUGCUCUUCAGCUCAUGCUGGCUUGAAUUUCCUGUGCACUGGAGGGAGAGGAGAAAGUGCAUUUUAAUAAGCUUCCAAUAAAUUAAUUUCAUUUUACUUCUUUUGAUGUAUGGUCUCUUCAAAAAAUCCAAUUCUACUGAUGUUUAUUAAGUGCCUCUAUUCACUUGGAAAGUGCCAGGCACUUCAGGGGAUCUAUGGAUGAGUGUGAUUUUCGGCCCAUGCUUCAAGAGCUUACAAUCUAGUGGAGAGGAUGGGAACAUGCAAUUUGUUCCAAUACUAGAUUGCAUGAGAUAAGCACCAUGAGAAGUGGUACAAACAAUGGGUUCUUAAUACAGAAAUGCAAGGUUAUGUGAAUAAUUAGAAAAUUGUCCUCAUAGUGCCUAAAUACCGGAAGUUCCACACAAUAGGACUCUUACAAAGGGUCUUCAUUUUAAACAUCUAUGCCUUGCAAUGCAUGAAGAAGUACUGGCGGUGAUAAGAGCAUCUACCAGGCUACAGUGGUCAUCAAUGUCAGCCCACUUUGUCCAAUUGAUGUAUUAUUCAAACUCACAGGUGAGCCAGGAUGUUCUUAACAAUUCCAUUUGGUAACUGACCUGCAGCUAUGCUGGGUUCUUUGUGUUUUUAGGCACCAACAGGUUAUACAAACACAGCACUGCAAUUGUACAAAAAUGUACAAUUGUUGUGUAAAAUUGUUGUUUUGUAUUUUAAAAUGUUUUAUUGAGUUGAAGAAUUUGAACUCCAAAAACACUAUGAACCCAGAAUAGGUCAGGCCCCAUGUAUUCUGAGUAUGCAAAUAUUUUCUUGGUAUCUAAAAGCAGUGCAAGAGAUACCAGCAUACAAUUUGUUUUUAGGUUUGCCACACGGCUUUGGAAGAAAGGAAUCUGAGCUAAAGAACACAAGCUAACACAGCACCCUGUUGUGCACCACUGCACUGGGAACACACACCUAACUGCGGAAGCCACACAUUAUUGCAGAACUUUACAAUACUCUGUCCCAUUCUCUGCCACCCCGGGGAUGUUUGUUUCCAUAUUUAUCCGAACACCCUUGUGCUUCUGUUCACUUCACUCCCCUGCUGCGGCAGGUCAGUGCUUCCCUGAUGGAUGACUGCAGUAGCAUUUGGUAUUGCUUGGAUGAAGUGAUGGAUGCUUCCCUCUCCUCUCCGGCUGCUUGGAGCCAGAAUACAGAAGUGCUGGUUAAAAGGUGAUUAAUCUUCCCUAAUGGUACUGUGCUUUGCAAACAGGUCUUUGACCACCAUGUCUUCAUUAGGUUUAAACAGAGCCCACAUUACUUUGGAUUAGGUAAUCGGUAAUUUGGAGAGUAGAGGCCUUUGGAGCAAAGGUUAACUGCAUAUAAUCCAUUUGGAAAGGAAAAGGAAUAGGACUCCAGUUUCCAGGGAUCCACAGGGAAAGAACUAAACUUGCCUGUGGUCUGGACACAGCUCCUGCUAAGUAAGCACUCUGGUCGAUGGAGAGUGGCAGGGGCUCUGAGGUAGUCAGGAUGGACAUUCGUUCAUGUUCUCUUGCCUUUUUUUUGGUUGUUAGAUGUCAUUGUAUGACCCUUGGACAUGAAACUGGGAAAUGUGCUUUUCUAAAGAUGCAAGAUAUAUUCUUAGUGUCUUUGGCAGCUGGAUGCAUUUCUUUAAAUGAUCAUCUAGAACUUCAUCUGUGCCUAGUAAUAUUAAGAGUCCUGGGCACUCAGAGACAAUCACGGGAGAGCAAGCUCUGAAUCUUUACAGCUCACCUUGAGUAGCAGAGACAAAAUAAGCAACUAUGCCUUUACCUUGUGAUAGUUGUAGACAUUGUCUGAAAAACACAAAACAGUAAGAAGAAACAGAGAUUGCCAAAGAUGAAUUCUCCGAUGAACAUAUUUGAGUAGAGAUUCAGUGAAAUGUGAGGUACAGUGAUCAUGAGAAUGGCCUUCUGGGCAGAGGAGACAGCCAAAUGCAAAAUUCAUACAAAUGGCCUAUGUUUCUUCCAUGUUAUUUUAUAUUUUAGCUCCUAUGACGAGUCAUUCAGUGUGUAUAUACAAGUACUGUUAAAUGAGCUGGAGUUGGAAAAUCACUAGAACAGUGUCAGGAACACUGUUGGUUUUCAGAAUGAUGUGAGCUGACACCUCUCCAUUUGCAGCAGAAGGGAAGGACUUAGGAUUCAUUUUUAUGCACACAAGGUUGUUACUGUCUUCUGUCAGCACACCACAUCCUGUAGCUUCUGGAAAGACACCAGCAGACUUUUCCUCUUCCUGCUCCUUCUUUUCUUUUCACUUGUCUCCUGAAACACAUGGACAUCGAGAAUUUAAGGAAAUGAGAGGUGGCCCAUAAAGCAGAGUACAUGACUGCUAAUUGUGCUAAUAUGAUAUCACACCCAGUAUGCCAUGUCACACAGGUUCACACACACAGGCAUGUUAGCCAUAGAAACUAAGUACAGUAAGUCCCCAACUUAGUGAUUAAUGGGUUCCAUUCUGGGAGAACAUUCCUAAAUUGGAUUGGUUCCUAAUCCAACUGAGUCUUAUAUAGUACACACCUGUGAGUCUUAUACAGUAUACCUGUGAGAGAUAGGUUGUAGCUCAACUGUAAACUGGGGAGUUAUUGUGUUGGAAUGCAGUGAGGACAGAAAGAGGAGAGUUUCAUAGGCCACAGAGACUUGGUAGUGCCUGGAAGUUUAGAGUAUCCCUUGACUACAAAGAUGCUGGACAUUCUCACUGGUGACCUGAAGGGAUGCAUAUAGUAACAGUGGCUUUUCAGGGGUCAGUAGGACACUAUAAUAUGUACAUUGCUAUAAUUAUCUCCUAAGGUAAACAUAACUUUGGAGUUCUGAUAUCAGCAUCUCAAAAAUACUGAAAACCCAUAUGCAUUAGUGAACUCUUGCUUUUAUAGACCAGGCAACUUUUGGGUCAGGGAUUUAGCUCGGUGACAUAAGUACCUUCCUGGCAAGCGAGAGACAGGUUGAGUUUGAACCCAGGUACCAGAAAUAUCUGAGACCAGGCAACUUUUUAAAAUUUUCUCUAUUUGACGAUGAUAAUAACACUCAUAGAAAGUAUUCAUUGAGCAACUGUCAAGUGAUAUUUCGUCUAACACAACAGACCAAGGAGAUCAGCCAAUGCCCUUCUGUUAUAUAAAUGAAGCCUUUGAAAUACAAAACUGUACUUAUGAAUAAAAAGCCCUGGAGCGCAGACCUGACUUACUAUAAAUCCAGUUUUCCUUCCAACUCUGAUAUUCUCAAAAUGCUUCACUAUUUUCCUCCCUUGGAGACUUAAUCCCAUGCUAUAUUAUCUCUAUUCAUUUCCUCUGUAAGUUCUUUGUGUUCCUUCUUGAUAAAUAUUUUGUAAUCUCUGCUUUAGUGUCCACCAUUACAUUUUUCCUCUUGCAGUGUCUUUAUAUCUCAGUCUUUGUACUUGGUCUUCCAACCUCUAGUUACCACCCCCAUCCACCAGCUGUUACAUUCAUUGCCUUUAAGCAUUAUCUGGGUACCUGAUAGCAUCUUACUGUUCAGGGUUUUUGCAGCAUAAUAGGCUCUGAAAAGUCUGACUUUACAGCCUAGUACCAUUUACACCCAUUACUUCUCCAAACUUUUUCCAGCUGUGUGACUAAGUUGACAUCCCUGAAGGAUGCAAAGUUCUCUGAACACCUGGUCUCACCCUCUAUGUCUACACAGAAAUGACCUCUUCCUCUUUCUUGUCUUUCUAAAAUAUCCAGAUCAAUUUUUCCCACUUCUAUGAAAUGUAUCCUUUCUUCUUCUGGCGUAUUGAUCUCUCUUUCUUGAAUGCUUUCUCUAAACUCUAAAGGUCUAUAAAAUGCUCUUUUUUAUAUAGUCCUUCAAUAGUAGCAGUUUAUCUCACUGAAGAUGUUACUUACGGAGGCCGAAUUAUUUCCUUUAGUGAAGCAGAAGCAGCUAACAGAAAUCACGGCUAUCACUGGCUUAGCCAGCUGGUGGUUUAUGGUGUGCCUGGAAGUGUGCAGUCCAGGGGCACAGCUGCUCUGCUCCACCACUUAAAAGCCAUGCUCUGGUUUGCCUUCCGCAUACUCUGUGCACUGGCUUUCACCUCUCAGUUUAUCGCAGCUUCCUCACCGUAUGAUCACUGCAUCCCCAGACUGUAGAAAUGGAGCAGUAGAAAUCCAGGUAUCUUUCCUUGGUUGGCUUUAGUCAGAAUCCUGUCAAAUGGCAUGAUUUCCUAGCUACAAGAAAAACUAGGAAAUCAAGUUUGAAUUGUUAAGAUUCAUCAGGGAAGACAGGCCCGAUGAAAUAUGGACCAAAAAAUGAUCUUCACUAAACGAGUUUAGAGUAUCAGUCACAAUAAAAGUUAAUAUAUAAAUCCUUACAUUCAUGUAAUAUCAUAUUCUUCGUCUGGAGAAAAAUGGAAGUGAGAAACAAUGCAGGUAUUGAAGUCACUUUGACUCAUUAUUGAAUAGUGCCACUCUCUCCUUGUGGUCAUGUGAACUUGAGUAUGUUGCUUACAUUUCCAAGGUGGAUUUCCCUAUUGAAACAUUUGGCUGAAUAAUAGCACUGCCUCUUAGAGUAAUCGUAAUAAUUGAAAGAGAUGAAACUCACAGCCUAUUAUAUCACAUUGGUGCUCACUGUCUAUUGGUUUUCCUUUUUCCCAUCUGUACAGAGAAAAUAUGAGAGGCAUUUAAAAAAAGAAUUGAUUCAAGAGAGACAGUAUUUCCUACCAGGUAGUCCUAUAAACUCUUUUCAGUAGGGAAAAAUAUUGCCCCUGUAACAGAACUGCAGAAGUGUUUGAGAUUUAUUUAUCUUGUAAUUAAGAACAGAAAGGAAAUCUCUGAAUGUCUGUGGAACUGUUGACCCGUGGAUACUGAGGUAUGUGCAAGUAACUCACACAUCUCAGGUGUUUAAUGAGGCUCAGUAACAAUUUGUGGGCUGUCAGCUCUAGGGUCCCAUCACCUCUGAUCACACACAGGAGCCCUGCUGCUGAGAAGUGAUACUUAGUGGGAAGGAUGAUAGAGCGACAUCCAGUUAGCAAGAAAGGCACAUGUGCAAGAAUCGUGUGUGCAAGAAUCAUGUGUGCAAGUGAUCCCAGUAUAUUUUAUAUAUAUAUAAUAGAGUACAUUCUUGACCCAUCCACUUCAUACUCCCUUUAAAGGCAGAACAAAAUUUUCCAUGUGCUUAUUAAAACAUUUAAAAGAAAAAAAAAAUUGGCACAGAAGCUUCUACCUGUGGAUUUUUAAUUAAAAAUAUUACUUAUGUAUAUAUUUAUUUGGAAUAUGUUUUUAAAACCCCAUAAAGUCUUCUAUUUUUAAUAAAAAGCAAAGGUGAAACAUUGCCAGAUGUUGGGAGGAAUAGUAACCAAGUGAUUCAAUCAGAAUUCUCCCACGGGGACGUGGACUCUCUCAGUCAGUGUCACAGAAUGAAAUAGUCUCUGAUUCACCCAGGAGUGAGUUAUUCCAUCUGGUUGUAGCAAUUAGGAGCUGAAGAUGACGGGAAGUUAAAUGACUAUCUUUAGGAAACAAAGCAAAACAGAAAAUGGAACAGCUGGGAGCCUGGAUGGCCGGGGGACACAGAAUUGGAUCUAGAAUAAAGGAUCUGUUACCUCCAGUCCCCGAUUGUAACGCUAGUACAGGUUAAUAUGAAUUGAAGGUUGCUGCUGUGUGAUAGUAGUUAGCUGUCACUUUGCCUGAAAUAUAACCGUAGCAUAUAUAGGGCAGCCUGAACUUAAGCUUCUGGAGUGUGGUGCCCUGCUUUGUCAGGGGCCGAGCCACCAGAUUAACCCUGUACAUACAGGGUCAAGUGUGAGAUUCACGGGGUCAUAGGAUUUCACCUGAAGAAAGGAUGUCACUGCUGAGACCAGAGCCCCAGAAUUCGGAUAUUUGUGUCCUUUCUUUGCCUGUGCUAUAUGCAUAACUUUGCCCAAGACCAAAGAAAAGGAUGAGUCAACUAGUUCUCUCACUGCUCCCACCACAAAGGAAAAAAGAAAGUGUAGCACCUACUUUAAUUCUUAUCUUUGGAUUUCACAGACCAGAACACAGAAUUUUGGUUUAGCACUUACUAGCUAUGUAAAUUAGUUAACCUUUGGAAGACUUAUUUUUGUCAUUUCUAUAAUGGGGAUUGUCAUCUCCAUUAUCAUCCCCUCCAGUUUUAUAAAGAACAUUUAAGAGAAUGUAUAUUUUUACUGAAAAGUCCAGUACAACUUAGCUCUUACUGUUAUUGUUGAAGUAUGCUCAAAGUUGAUGGCAGAAAUAGUAUGAGAGCCCUGAUCCCUAAUACACUAUUCUGGCCACUGGAAAAUAUGACCUCUUUCUUUCCUUGUAUUCACUAUAUCAUUUUUAUUUUGGUUUGGCAAGUCAAGUAACAUAAAGGAUUGAAGUCAGCCAGGUUUGGUGGGGCAUGCCUGUAAUCUCAGUACUCAGGAGGCUGAGGCAGGAGACUUGCAGCUUGUUCCAGAUCAGCCUGGGAGACAGAGUGAUAGUUCAAGGCCAACCUGAAAUACACAACAAGACCCUUUCUCAAGAAAGAAAGGAAAAGAAAAAGACAAAGAAACACAGAGAUCAAAUAGUUAUUUCUUAAGAGGGCUUACGGGUUAUUUCUGCAUAUUGGAACUUUCUUUCAACACCCUUUGUCUUCUCUAAACUGGAAUCUGGAACAGUAAAUCACAAAGAUCCAGGUCAGAUCUUUGCUUUACAGCACCCUCCACCCACUCUCCCCAAGAAGGACUGAGCAAGGUGAGACCUCGGACUCCUCAUUAGCAAGGGGAAGUCUUUCCAGGCAGCUCCUUCCUUGAAUAGAUAGAGUGGAUCAAACAAAAGGGAUGACAGAUUAGGAACUGUCUGGUGGCUAAUGUACUGUUUACUACAGUAUAAAUGACUGGUGUUUGGAAAAUGACAAAUGAGAAAGAACACAAUUACUGACUUAAAUAAUUUCCAAGUUUCCACAGCAGAGGAAAGUCAUAGUAGGCUGUGAUGUUGGCAGGGGAGGGAGGAGGUGCUGGUGGGAGUUUUGGGGUCAUGAAAAGAGCAUGGAGAACUCAUCAAUCCAGGAGCUGCCAGAGCUUCUGUGCCACAAACACAAGGGGAUGCCACGGGGUCCACGGGCUAGGCAUGGAGCGAGCCAUGCUCAGCCAAGUUGGGAGAUUCCCAGGAGACAUGGCAUGGGGAUGGGAAUAAUAAAUAUAUUUGAAAGGAGGUCUGAAAGAAAGAAAGAAAGAAAGAAAGAAAGAAAGAAAGAAAGAAAGAAAGAAAAACAAAGAAAGAAGUACAAAGGAGAGAGGGGAAAAGGAAAGGAGACUGGCAGGGGAAAUCUUGCACAUCAAUGAACCUGAAACCCUGAUAGUUAAGUUGUAAGAAUUUGUGUUAGUCUAACUUGCCCCAGGUCUAUAAGAAACCUUCAAUUAACUUGCAGCCAUUGAAGCAUUUUAACUUAGUUUUCAAUAAUAAUAAUAAUGGUCCUGAUGAUAUAAGACAGGCUCUAGGUUAUUUACAAACAUAUCACUGUUAUACCUUGUAUUUGCUUUCUCAGAGGUUAUGCAUUCAUUCAUAUCUGAAACAAAUAUUAAUCCAACAUCUAUUUUGUGACAGUUCUACAUGCUGAGGAUAAACUAAAGAAUGGAGAAAAAUAGUAAAAUUUCCCUCCUCAUGAAACUUGCAUACAAACUGAAAAGAACGUACAAUGUAUAGGAUACCAUACCAAAUUAUGUAAAUGAUGAAUCAGUGAUGUGAAGGCAACUUCUUCAGGGCACAGUGGUAGGGUGAGAAGUGUAUCUGCUACUUUCUAGAAGAUAUUUAGGCAAAUGUCUGGGGAAUCCUGAACAAAAGGAACAAGCAGCUUAUAUAUCUGUCUGAGGAGAAGCAUUCCAUCCUAAAAGAAGAGCAAGUUCAAGGGUUCCCAGGUCAGAGUACAGGAGAGGGAAGAGCAGAAUAGGAGAAUAAAAAGCAGGGUAGAGACAGACAGGGGCUAGAGGGUGAGGAGCAGGACAUUUUAGGACAGCAAGUUGAAAUGUGUCUUAAAAGCAGUAAAAUAACAUGAUACUAUAUUACAAUGCAACUCUGGCCAAUGAAUUGGAAACAUUUGGCGGGAAAAAGACCAGAACGAAAGCAGGAAGACCAGGUUGGAAUCUCACAGGAUAACCAAGCUAGUUAUGCUGGGGAUUUGUACAAAGAUGCUAGUUUUGGAUUUAGGAUCCAUUUUGAAUGCCAAGCUGACAGAAUUUGGUUGUGAAUUGGAUGUAAGGAAUGAGAAAACUGAGUUUGUGUGUCGUUGUAUUUCAAAGGUAUUUAUAUUUUAACUUUGUGCUCAAUCUUCUAUUAGUUAUUUGAUGGUCUUUUGAGGCAAUAAGAUUAGAUUAUAAAUUAAAUCAAAUAAGUUAAAUCUAUUAUAAAUAUCCAAAAGUCACGCAGUGACCCUUUUUGUAUCUAAUUCAGCCUACAAAAAUGCUGUGCUUGGCUCGUAGUGUUUCACAUUUUCAAGUCAGAAUUUAAAAAUCUAAACAUAUGAAUUCUUUUGAGAAGUUAUAUGAUGUGGAGUACAGAAGAGACAGUUGUGUUUUGGACCUGGAUAGCAAUUGCUUUUUUGCGCCAGGGGGCAACUCUUCAGUUCCUCACCCUUACAACCUGAAUUUCCCUCUCCACCUCCACCACCUGGAUGGUCACAAUGGGAUUCCUACUCCCUACCUGCUCCUCACUGCUUAGUCAGUCUUUAAAAGAGACUUCAGAGAUAAUCAUGAAUAUAAUUGCCUCAGAAUUAAAGGUCAGGGAUCUCAGUACUACUGUAAGCAGGGUAGAGACAGACAGGGAAGAAAUGGUUAGGGACUAGAUGGUCAUAUCCAGUCCAAGUCUCACCUGUAAAUCCAUCCAACAAGAGUUGCAUAAAUACAGAUGUAUAUUAGUUUUGGAAAGUUAAAAUAAUUUCACAUUAUAAUAAACCAUGUUUUCUAGAGUAUCAGAUACUCAAAGUAAGUUGCUUUUCAAAGUACAAUUACUUUGUUCCUCUCUUUUUCUUUUUUAUUCUUAAAAAGUGACUAUUAGGCUCGAAAAGUUUGGGGAUGGUUUUUCUAUUGUAACCACCCACUUUACUGGCAUCAAAAGAGAAUUCUUUAGGGAUAGUUUGUUUCCAAAACUGCUCAGCUAAUUAAUGAAUUCAAGUCUCCUAUCAAGCUGCCCUGCAUCUCUCUGGCUGUUUGUUCCAAACUCAAACACUACGAGACCAGAGGAGGAUGAUUCUGAAAUUUUGACAUUAGAAUUCUUGGUUUUGUUCCAGGGAUGGCAAAUUCCAGUUGCCAAAUGAAUGGUAAGGAUUUUCUCCUUGUGAGAAUAGUGUAGGACAGUAGUCUCAACAGCCACACUGCUGACAUUUUGGACUGGGUGAUUCUUUGUGUUGAAAGAAUAGUGCUGAGCAUUAUUGGGUGUUUAGCAGCUUUCCAGGCCUUACCCACUGGGUGUCAGUGGUAUGCCCCAAUUCUAAUCGUCACCGUUCAAGUAUCUCUAGACAUUGCCAAAUGUACCCUGGAGGGGGCCAGAGUCCUCCACUGAGAAUCACUGCUGUGGACAGACUACUGCUGCUUUACUCAUUGAUUCUGAGUCCCAGGAAAAGACCUUCACCACUCAGCAACUAGGCACCCUGCUGACCCUGAGCCUGCCUGUGUAACUGCGCACUGUCUUUCUCCAUCCGUGAUCAGGGCAAGGCUCAUUUAUCUCCGGUUUCUUCCCAGAGACCGCUUACUUUCACAAUGCAGUCCCUUUUCUUUAUAAGUGUCUUAGAACUUUUUCACUUUCAAAACACUAAUUUUCAGUCUCUCCGACUGGACAGGUAUGCAGUUUUGUCUAUUCAUCUAUUUGUCUCUGUUAGCUUUUAAAAACCGUCUCAUGUAGUCUCUCACUUCUUAGUUUUUCUUUUUGUUUUUAUUCUGUGUUUCUGUGUGUCUUUAAAAUCCAAUUUUGGUGUGAAGCCUGACUUUUUCUACUUAUAUCAGUGCCUUGCUGCCUAUACCUGUAUUUCAUUUUAUGGUUUAACUUUGCAGUGUGUAUACACCCAAUUCCUAUUAUUCUCAUAAAGUCUGAGUUUCUGGUUUCUGUCUUGACUGGUGUGUGUGUGUGUGUGUGUGUGUGUGUGUGUGUGUGUGUGUGUGUGUGGCAGCUGGUCUUUUACUCUGACUUUCUCUAUUUCUAUCUAUUCUGUGGUUUUUUUAGGGCCCCAUUCCAUUUUGGAAGGAUGGUGACAUGUUUUUCUGAUAUUUCUGUUUCUGACAUUUUUUGUUCUUUUUUCUAUUGACAACUCUUUCCAUUUCUGUCUUUCUUUUAGAAAUGGCCCAUCUGGACUAAGUUCCUAUCAGGAUCUCUUUCUCUGGGUAGGAACUUCCUCAGGCAUGUAAUAGAAACCUUUUAUUUCUGUUGAAUGGUAAUCCUAAGGGAAAGAUACGGAAAGGACCUUUCAGUUAAGUGCGUAAAGGCAAUUCUAUGUUUGUUUUAUUUCACCGAAUGGAAAUUUUAAAGAAAACACACAUCCAGUACUAAAUCCAAGAAAGUUUAAAUAUUUAACGUUUCAUAAAGUUAGUGUGACAGAAAGUAAAAGGAUUCCAUAUUGUGAGCAAGUAGCUUAGAAAAGUCAUUAAGUAAUAUAUUUGUAAAAUCAACCUUUUUACUGAGGCUACUGAAAUAAAAUCAAGGGCUGCCACACAAGAUACUUACUGUGAAGUUCAAGAAUAAGAUACUAAGAGGAGUAUUCUGUGAUUCACAAGGAACGUACCUUGUCCUUGGUUCCUGAAGAAUGUCCAAACCAACAAUGAGGACAUUACAAGGUUCACAAGGACAGUGAAAACUGUUCUAUCUUCUCAGUUUUGUAAGAAAAUGAGAAUUGUAAUAAACUUCCAAAACAGAUUGGAAUCCAUCUGGUGUAGCCAAAUUAAUCCUCCUUUAAUGACUGUUUAUAUUGUGUAUCCAAAGUCAAAUUCAGUAUUAAGAGUUAAUCAAUUACAAUUUAUAAUCAUUUUGGCUCACCAAAACAAGAAGGAAUUGAAAACUGAGAUUUUAUUUUAUAGUAGAAACACAUUUUUAAAAACUAUGUUUCUUAAUUGCACCAUAUGUAAAUAAUUCACAUUAUCUCUGGAAAUUUUAUUGUUUAAUUUUUGUAAAGGGCAAAACAAUGAUUGGUGAUACUGCAAAGCAAUGUGAAGAUGGCUUGCUAUGGAAGUUUUUAAGCAUUAUUUCCUGCCAAAAAAAUUCCUAAACAAAAAUUUGAAGGGUAAACUAGCAUAUUAAACCAUGAAUGAAAGUAUUUUCCUUCUCUCUAGUCCAGUAUAAAUUUUUUAGCAAUCUGUUUGAUGUUUCUUGAUUAUAUUUGAAGUUUUUUCUUUCCCAUAAUAGUUACUAUGGAAGUAAAAUGGUAUGUGGUGGUAGGAACCUGGCACAUGGGUUCAAACCAGAUUUCCUUCUGUGCCAUGCCUCCCACCAAGUAACGUGAAUGGCUCUUCGAGCAAGUUGUGUUAUCAUGAGAAGGGAACACAUAAUCAUGUGUCUCCUACUUCAGAGAGCUGGUGUUCGUGAAGACUAGGGAUGUCAGUAAUUUGUUCUGUAUUGAUUGUUAUCUGCUAUUGGUGCCACCUCCAGAGAUAUAUCCCUUUCCAUUGUCCUUCUCUUAGACUCACCUGAGCUCUUCGUAUUUCUAAGUAUCUGCACCUGUUAUUGCCUUUGUCUCCCUAACUGGGCUAACUCAUACUUGACCUUCAGAGCUCAGACUUUGACUUCUGUAGGAAUCCUUUUGUGCCAUUCCUUUUUCAUUGAGGUUUAUAUGCUGAGUCAGGCUCUAUUAUAACAUUUAACAUAUUAUGUUUAUUCAUUUACUUUCCCGUUCUUUCACAUGCAAACAUGGCGAGGGCAGAAACUCUGCCCUCUAGUUGAGGAUGAAAUCUCUUUGUAGAUCUGUCCCCUCGUAAUGCCUGGCUCAUAGGAUGUGCUCAAGAAACCUCUGUCUCCACUGAGUGGGUAAACUUGAGUGAGAAUGUUCCACCAGGAACAACAUAAUGCAGGUUACAUUUCCCAAAGUAUGUCUCUUAAAGGCUUUUGUGUUUAUGAGUUGGGAAGUGUCUCCAUGGAACACUGAUAUCUUCUGGAUUUUCCUAAAUUUAUCUGAAACAGUCAGUAUGAGGGAAUGCAGGGAGUUGGGGAUAUAUCUCUCUUAAAGAGUUAUGGCUUUGAUAAGUUGAACUGUAAUUGCAGUAGACGUCCAAACACAACCUAAAAUUCUCCAAAGGAUCCAGAUCGUAGAACCCUCCUUUACUAAUUUAUUCAGAAACCCAAAUGUACUGACCAACAUGGGAAACAAGCCCAGACUAGUAAAAGCAUCUAUAACCAAAUAUCCUGCUUUUCCUUCCUCAUCAUUUCAAGAAGUUGGUGGAGGUCAGUGAGGCCUUCAUCUCUGGGUAGAGACUAAUUUCAGCUUGGAACUUUUAAUGGGCAAGGUGAAGCCGUUCAAUCAUAUAGGAUCCCUUUAUCUGUUCUAGUCCAGCUCCUGUAACUAUUUUCAUCUCACUGAAGUGGCAUAGGGCAUGGUGAUCUUAAAAAGACAGGACCCCGAAUUUCAAUGGGUCUAUAGGUACGAUAGUCUGUUUUUAGUAUUUCUUCAAAACACCUGAAUCACCUGUUAAAAUUAUUCUUGAGGACUCUACUUGGACAUACUCAGACAGCCUGAGCAGAAGAUUUACAAUACCAUUGUACAAAAGGCCACUGUAGUUCUUUUGGUUCUUGUUUUUAUUGAUUGCUAGUAAAGCACUUUCAAAAGUAGAAAUAUUUAAAUACAUCCAUGGAUUCAUGGCUGAAUUCUACAAGAAAUUUAGAGAAGAUUUUAUGUCAAUACUCUUUAAACUCUUCAAUGAUAUUGAAAAGGAGGCAGUCCUCCCUAAAUCAUUCUUGGAGGCAAGUAUUACUCUCAUACCAAAACCAUAGAAAUACCCAACCAAAAGGGUGAACUCUAGGGCAAUCUCACUAAUGAACAUUGAUGCAAAGAUUCUAAAUAAAAUACUGCCAAAUAGAAUGCAACAAAUUAUCAAGAAGAUUUACAUCACAACCAAGUGGGAUUCGUUCCAGGAAUGCAGGGAUGGUUUAACAUAUGCAAAUCAAUAAAUGUAAUGCAUCACAUCAACAGAGCCAAAAACAAAAACCACAUGAUCAUCUUAAUAGAUGCAGAAAAAGCUUUUGAUAAAGUCCAACAUAUGUUCUUGAUAAAAACCCUUCAGAAACUCAGAAUACAUGGUUUCUACCUCAAUCUUACAAAGGUCAUCUAUGACAAACCAACAGCCAACAUUAUACUAAAUGGACAAAAACUGAAACCUUUCACACUAAAAUCAGGAACAAGACAAGGAUGGCCACUUUCACCACUCCUAUUCAAUAUAGUUCUGGAAAUACUAGCCAGGGCCAUCAGACAAGGGAGAGAAAUAAAAGAAAUAAAGAUAGGAAGGGAAGAAGUUAAACUAUCACUAUUUGCAGAUGACAUGAUACUCUAUAUAGAAGACCCAAAAAGCUCCAUUAAAAGACUACUAGAGGUAAUAAACAAAUUCAGCAGUGUAGCUGGAUACAAAGUCAAUGUUCAAAAAUCAAUGGCAUUCCUGUACACAAACAAAAAUCUCACCAAGAGACAAAUUAUGGAAAUAUUAUCUUUCACAAUAGCAUCUUUAAAAAUAUACUUAGGAAUCAACCUAACCAAUAAUGUAAAAGAGCUAUAUGCUGAAAAUUAUGCUAUGCUAAAAAAGAAGAUUAAAGAGAAUGUUAGAAAAUGGAAGGAUAUUCCUUGCUCUUGGUUAGGAAGAACCAACAUUGUGAAAAUGGCCAUACUCCCAAAACUCUUAUCCAGAUUUAAUGCAAUCCCAAUCAAAAUACCAUUGACAACCUCACAGAUCUAGAGAAAACGCUCCUAAAAUUCAUUUGGAAACAAAAAGAGACCUAGAAUAGCAAAGGCAAUUCUGGGCAACAAAGGCAAGGCAGGAGACAUCUCAAUUCCUGACUAGAAACUAUAGUACAAAGCCACAGUAAUAAAAUCAGCAUGGUACUGGCAAAGAAAUAGACCUGAGGAUCAGUGGAACAGAUUAGAAAAUGCAAGCACAACUACAAAGACACUCAGUCACCUGAUAUUUGACAAAGGUGCUAAACAUGUUCACUAAAAGCAUUGCUUCUUUAAUAAAUGGUGUUGGAAAAAUUGGCUUUCCACAUGCCAAAGACUGAAAUAGACCCAUGCGUAUCACCAUGCACAGAACUAAAGUCUAUGUGGAUUAAAGAUCUAAAUAUUAAAACAGAAACACUUAAUCUACUGGAAGACAAGGUAGGUAGAAGUCUUUGAGAUGUAGGAAUAGGCAGAGAAUUCAUGAACACAACACAAACUGCAUGGAAAACACUUCAAAGAAUUGACAACUGGGAUCUCAUAUUACUGAAAAGUUUCUACAAUUCAAAAUAAAUCACCAACAGAGAGAAAAGAAAACCCAAAGGAUGGUAAAGUAUUAUAGCUAGCAACCCCUCAGACAAAGGACUUAUAUCCAGAGCAUAUAAAGAAUUGAAAAACAUCAAGAUCCCAAAUUCAAAGACCCUCUCCAAAAAUGGGCAUCUGAGAUGAACACAUAGUUCUCAGAUGAAGAUAUACAAAUGGCAAAUAAGUACAUGAAGAAAUGUUCACCAUCACUGAUUUUUCAAGAAAUGCAAAUUCAAAUAGCAUUGAGAUUUCAUCUCACUCUGGAAAGAAUAGCUGCAAUCAAGAAAACAACUGAUAACAAAUGUUGGCAAAGAUGUGGGGAAAAAGUAACACUGAUCCAUUGUUGGUAGGAGUGUAGACUGGUGCAGCUACCAUGGAAAUCAGUGUGGAGAUUUCUCAGAAGACUAGGAUUGGAAGUUCCAUUCAACCGAGUUAUUCUCCUUAAGGGUAUUUUCCCAGAAAAACUGAAAAGGUCAUAUCACAGUGAUAUAUGUGCACCCAUGUUCAUAGCAGCAUAAUCUGUAAUAGCCAAAUUUUGGACACAAACAAAAUACCCAUCAACUGCAAAGUGAAUGAAGAAGAUUUGGCAUUUUUACACAAUGGAAUAUUGCUCAGCUAUAAAAAAGAUGAUCUUGAGGCCUUCAUAGGUAAAUGGAGGCAACUUGAAACUAUCCUCCUAAGUGAAAUAAAUAAGAAUCAUAUUUAUAAAUAUCACAUUGGGUCUCUAGUGUAAAAAGUAAUAAGAACUGUAGGAGUAAUAAAACCCCAAAUGUGUAAUUGCUAUUGUAAAAAGAGAUGAAAAGGAAGUGCUCUAAAGGUUAUAACUGCAUGCAUGUUUAAGUGUGUAGGAGUGAUAACCAUAUUACUAAGUUUUUGUUGGAUCAUUGAGCAGAACUGUUUGCAGUCUCACUGUUUGAAUGUAUACUUUGUAUGCUUUAAUUUUGUAAAUUGAACAACUAUUUAUAAGAUGACAGUAUGUAAUUUACCAACUAGUUAUUUCUUAGUUUUAUUUUAUUUUUUGAAUUGUAUUCUUGUUACCCUUUUGUCUGUUUUUCUUUUUUUGCUCUUUAAAUAAAUAAAAUUAAAUAUAAUAAAUAAA